rnacentral:rRNA from 1 species
UACGGAGGAUCCGAGCGUUAUCCGGAUUUAUUGGGUUUAAAGGGUGCUCAGGCGGGCCAUUAAGUCGGCGGUGAAAUUUUGCGGCUCAAACCGUAAAAGUGCCUUCGAUACUGGUGGUCUUGAGUGUGGAUGAGGUAGGCGGAAUUUGUGGUGUAGCGGUGAAAUGCAUAGAUAUCACGAGGAACUCCGAUUGCGCAGGCAGCUUACUAAACUACUACUGACGCUCAUGCACGAAGGCGUGGGGAUCAAACAGGAUUAGAUACCCCU